AUACGGAGGGUGCAAGCGUUAUCCGGAAUCAUUGGGUUUAAAGGGUCCGCAGGCGGGCUAAUAAGUCAGUGGUGAAAUCCUCCCGCUCAACGGGAGAACUGCCAUUGAAACUGUUAGUCUUGAAUUCGGUCGAAGUAGGCGGAAUGUGUCAUGUAGCGGUGAAAUGCAUAGAUAUGACACAGAACACCGAUAGCGAAGGCAGCUUACUAGACCUGGAUUGACGCUCAUGGACGAAAGCGUGGGGAGCGAACAGGAUUAGAAACCCUAGUAGUCC
rnacentral:rRNA from 1 species